UACGAGUGCUCCAAGCGUUAUCCGGAAUCAUUGGGCGUAAAGGGUGUGUAGGCGGUUUUGUUAGUCUUCUGUUAAAUUCUUCGGCUCAACCGGGGGCAUGCAGGGGAAACGGCAAAACUAGAGGAUGCGAGAGGUGAAUGGAACUCAUGGAGUAGGGGUGAAAUCCGUUGAUAUCAUGGGGAACACCGAAUGCGAAGGCAGUUCACUGGCGCACUCCUGACGCUGAGACACGAAAGCGUAGGUAGCGAAUGGG
rnacentral:rRNA from 1 species